rnacentral:lncRNA from 1 species
AAAACCAGACAACAUAACCACCUACCCACCCAUCCACCCAACCAAAACCAGACAACAUAACCACCUACCCACCCAUCCACCCAACCAAAAUAAAAACCAAGAAAGCAGGGAAAAAAACCCAAACCCAAACCAGCCACCAUUCCUUCCCGCCUCUCUCCUACAAUGUAAGCAGGUAAUUUUGUUACAUGGAAGGUUUCUGCGGGGAGAGGGCUGAUGAUUUGUGGAUUUCUUGAGCUGGAGAUUAUUAGAGCUUCAUGCCCUAUUAACAUGUCUAGAAGAGCUCUCUGUUUUCUAGGUGCAGGGACACAGUCUACAAAUCACAGCCAUCAAGGAAAUGCUUUACAAAGAGCUUUCUGAAUGCUGCGUUACAUUUGUGGGCAAAUUCAGGAUAACCCCAAAGAUACGGGGCUUUGAUAAUGAAGCAGGCCCCGAUACUGGCUCCCAGGGCUUAUACCCACCUCUGCUACACCCACGUGAGUAUCAGAACAAUGUGCCCUUUAAUUUUAUACAG